UGGAGUCCCACUUGUUUCUCCAGGAAUUAAUAUUAUGGUAGUCAUUUUUGUAGUCCCACUCAAUUAAUAUAAAUUUUAUUAUUAACGUAUUGAUAUAUACUACAAUUGUUUUCUUUAACUUCCUUAAUAAUUUUUUUUUUCUUUAACAGAAUUUUUAGAAUAUAUUAUGUGGCACUUAUAUUUUAUUUGUUAUGCCACUUA
rnacentral:lncRNA from 1 species